rnacentral:rRNA from 1 species
GACGAACGCUGGCGGCGUGCUUAACACAUGCAAGUCGAACGCGCCUGUCCUCUGGGUUUCUGGGGGGUGGGUGAGUGGCGAACGGGUGAGUAACACGUGAGUAACCUGCCCCCUUCUUCGGGAUAACGGUCUGAAAGGGCUGCUAAUACCGGGUAUUCACUGGUCUCCGCAUGGGGUCUGGUGGAAAGGUUUUUUUCUGGUGGGGGAUGGGCUCGCGGCCUAUCAGCUUGUUGGUGGGGUGAUGGCCCACCAAGGCUUUGACGGGUAGCCGGCCUGAGAGGGGGACCGGUCACAUUGGGACGGAGAUACGGCCCAGACUCCUACGGGAGGCAGCAGUGGGGAAUAUUGCACAAGGGGCGCAAGCCUGAUGCAGCGACGCCGCGUGAGGGAUGGAGGCCUUCGGGUUGUGAACCUCUUUCGCCCGUGGUCAAGCCGCGACGUGGGUCGUGGUGAGGGUAGUGGGUAAAGAAGCGCCGGCUAACUACGUG